rnacentral:rRNA from 1 species
UACAGAGGGUGCUAGCGUUGUUCGGAAUCAUUGGGCGUAAAGGGCGUGUAGGCGGCUUAGCAAGUCAGAUGUGAAAUCCCGGGGCUUAACUUCGGAAGUGCAUUUGAAACUGCUAGGCUAGAGUGAAGUAGAGGUUGGUGGAAUUCCCAGUGUAGAGGUGAAAUGCGUAGAGAUGUGGAGGAACACCAAUGGCGAAGGCAGCCUUCUGGGCCAACACUGACGCUCAUGCACGAAAGCGUGGGGAGCAAACAGG